AGUAUCAUAUUUUCAAUUAUUUCAAUUUUUAUACCAUUUAAAGAGUGUCAUGUAUCCUUGUGGUAAAAUACAAAUUUUCUUUUAACAAGAUGUUGAUAUAUCUAAAUAAAAAUUCAAAAAAGUUAGUUUCUGAUUCAUUAAAACAAUAAAAUAUAUAUCCUAAGGUUAAAAUCUUGAAUAUAGUAUUCGAAAAAUAUGAAAUAGAUAUAAAAUUGAAUCUACAUCAGCGGCUCUUGCCCCCUGAGGGUUAACAUAACACACGUCAAUAAGUAACAUGAUACAAUUAUGAAUGUGUAUAUUUUGUUAUAUCUAUACAAAUGUAAUUUGUGAUAUAAAAUAAUUAUUAUCAUUAUGGUUAUAAAAACAUGAAAAGUAAAAAAAUGGUACCAAAGAGGGUCCGUUAAUAAUUUUAAGAAUAGCCUUAAAGGCCCGUGGUUUAUGAUAAACUAAAUGAUACAAUAACCACGGAUAAUAAAUAACAAAUAAAACACAACAAUUAUUAUUUGGUAAAUUAAAUUUUUAUUCGCAUUAACAUAUUACAACAAUUUCAAGAAGGUACAAAGAAAUUUUGUUUUUUUUGUUUUUUUAAGAGUUUUAUAAAAUAUCACACAGGAUGAUAUUAAUUCUAUAAAUAAAUUAAACAAAAAUAAGUGCUCGUCUUAUCCAAGUCAUUUGAAGUCGGUAACAUGGUUCGGGUGGCUGAUCUAAAGGUUCUCUUAUACGUAGUAAGCAGCUGUGUACGGGGAAGCCAAGGUCUUGGCCACAUAUGGGUAGCCGGAAUAAGCGGAGUAAGAGGAGAAGAAU